rnacentral:rRNA from 1 species
GACGAACGCUGGCGGCGUGCCUAAUACAUGCAAGUAGGACGCAGUUGCGAACGGGUGAGUAACGCGUAGGUAACUACCUGUUAGAGGGGGAUAACUAUUGGAAACGAUAGCUAAUACCGCAUACUAGUAGAUGGACCUGCGUUGUAUUAGCUAGUAGGUAGGGUAAUGGCCUACCUAGGCAACGAUACAUAGCCGACCUUGGGAGGUGAGCGGCCAAACUGGGACUUGGAAACGGGCCAGACUCCUACGGGAGGCAGCAGGAGGGAAUCUUCGGAAAUGGGGGGAACCCUUGACGAGGAACGCCGGGUGAGUGAAGAAGGUUUUCGGAGCGUAAAACUCUGUUGUUAAGGAAGCGGUACUUAACCAGAAAGGGACGGCUAACUACGUGCCAGCCGCCGCGGUAAUUC